CUUUAAGCCGCAGAGGGGCUGCUUUGGAGAAGUUAGUUUUAAAAUUUCCAUCUUUUAAAUUGCAUCCCGUCAGUUUUAGUUAUAGCCGUGACUCAAGUAAUAUCAGUAGGUGGCCCACUCCGGAGAUCCCAAAACGAACAAAUCAAGGUUCCGGCUGCCAAGGCCUUCUUAACUGGGUGUGUGGACUCGAAGGAUCCCUUCCAGGAUGCCACAGUACAGUUAAUCGUCAUGUCUCUCCUUGGCUGUGACAGUUUCUCAGGCUUCCCUUAGUGUUGAUGACCUUGACAGUGUUGAGGAACACUGGUCAGGGGACCAGCUUUCCAUGGGAAAACACCAUUAUUUUUGGCAGUUAUCGCAAUCAACCAAAGGAAGACCUGAAGGACAUAGCUAUUAAAGACUUUCUCGAGAGAAAAAAACAGGGAAUAACCCAUCCUUCCACUAAAAUAGAAGGAAAUGAAAUGAGGGAUAACAAUUAGGUGUAUCAAA